rnacentral:rRNA from 1 species
AUUGAACGCUGGCGGCAUGCCUUACACAUGCAAGUCGAACGGCAGCGCGGGGGCAACCCUGGCGGCGAGCGGCGGACGGGUGAGGAAUGCGUCGGAAUCUGCCUCUUUGUGGGGGAUAACGUAGGGAAACUUACGCUAAUACCGCAUACGACCUACGGGGGAAAGUGGGGGACCUUCGGGCCUCACGCAGAGAGAUGAGCCGACGCCGGAUUAGCUGGUUGGCGGGGUAAAGGCCCACCAAGGCGACGAUCCGUAGCUGGUCUGAGAGGAUGAUCAGCCACACUGGAACUGAGACACGGUCCAGACUCCUACGGGAGGCAGCAGUGGGGAAUAUUGGACAAUGGGCGCAAGCCUGAUCCAGCCAUGCCGCGUGUGUGAAGAAGGCCUUCGGGUUGUAAAGCACUUUUGUCCGGAAAGAAAAGCAUUCGGUUAAUAACCGGGUGUCAUGACGGUACCGGAAGAAUAAGCACCGGCUAACUUCGUGCCAGCCGCCGCCGUAA